GCUCCCUGAUGUUAGCGGCGGACGGGUGAGUAACACGUGGGUAACCUGCCUGUAAGACUGGGAUAACUCCGGGAAACCGGGGCUAAUACCGGAUGGUUGUCUGAACCGCAUGGUUCAGACAUAAAAGGUGGCUUCGGCUACCACUUACAGAUGGACCCGCGGCGCAUUAGCUAGUUGGUGAGGUAACGGCUCACCAAGGCGACGAUGCGUAGCCGACCUGAGAGGGUGAUCGGCCACACUGGGACUGAGACACGGCCCAGACUCCUACGGGAGGCAGCAGUAGGGAAUCUUCCGCAAUGGACGAAAGUCUGACGGAGCAACGCCGCGUGAGUGAUGAAGGUUUUCGGAUCGUAAAGCUCUGUUGUUAGGGAAGAACAAGUGCCGUUCAAAUAGGGCGGCACCUUGACGGUACCUAACCAGAAAGCCACGGCUAACUACGUGCCAGCAGCCGCGGUAAUACGUAGGUGGCAAGCGUUGUCCGGAAUUAUUGGGCGUAAAGGGCUCGCAGGCGGUUUCUUAAGUCUGAUGUGAAAGCCCCCGGCUCAACCGGGGAGGGUCAUUGGAAACUGGGGAACUUGAGUGCAGAAGAGGAGAGUGGAAUUCCACGUGUAGCGGUGAAAUGCGUAGAGAUGUGGAGGAACACCAGUGGCGAAGGCGACUCUCUGGUCUGUAACUGACGCUGAGGAGCGAAAGCGUGGGGAGCGAACAGGAUUAGAUACCCUGGUAGUCCACGCCGUAAACGAUGAGUGCUAAGUGUUAGGGGGUUUCCGCCCCUUAGUGCUGCAGCUAACGCAUUAAGCACUCCGCCUGGGGAGUACGGUCGCAAGACUGAAACUCAAAGGAAUUGACGGGGGCCCGCACAAGCGGUGGAGCAUGUGGUUUAAUUCGAAGCAACGCGAAGAACCUUACCAGGUCUUGACAUCCUCUGACAAUCCUAGAGAUAGGACGUCCCCUUCGGGGGCAGAGUGACAGGUGGUGCAUGGUUGUCGUCAGCUCGUGUCGUGAGAUGUUGGGUUAAGUCCCGCAACGAGCGCAACCCUUGAUCUUAGUUGCCAGCAUUCAGUUGGGCACUCUAAGGUGACUGCCGGUGACAAACCGGAGGAAGGUGGGGAUGACGUCAAAUCAUCAUGCCCCUUAUGACCUGGGCUAC
rnacentral:rRNA from 1 species